rnacentral:rRNA from 1 species
UAACCUGCCCAAGAGAUCGGGAUAACACCUGGAAACAGAUGCUAAUACCGGAUAACAACAGAUGAUGCCUAUCAACUGUUUAAAAGAUGGUUCUGCUAUCACUCUUGGAUGGACCUGCGGUGCAUUAGCUAGUUGGUAGGGUAACGGCCUACCAAGGCGAUGAUGCAUAGCCCGAGUUCGAGAGACUGAUCGGUCCACUAUUGGGACUGAGACGGACGGCCAACUCCUACGGGAGGCAGCAGU